UGAAGGUGCGUGAGUGACCGUGAUUGUGAGGGACUGGAGGGAGGUGGGCAAGGUGUGGAGCUGGAGCGCCUCCACAGGCUCUAUGUAAGACGCUCAGAUGUUUGUCUUGGUGGUGGAAAGCUAUCGAUGACACGAUCAGAUUUGGUAGAAUGAUCCCUGUGGCAGAGAUGUGGACAGGGCUCUGAGGGGUGAUACUGCAGCCAGCAAGGUCACUAUCAGCCACGUGUGUUGUCAUCAUCCUGUGGCAAGGCUAGGAUGGCAAUUCUAGAUGCAAUUCUAGAUGGCUCCUAGAUCCUGUGGCAACUAGGAGCUGAGUGGAUGAGACUGGGCAGGCUGUGGUCCAGGGGCCUCUGAGGCUGGAGGAAGGUAGACCUAGACACAAGGCUGAGCUGCCUGUGUGGCUGGAGAGGGUGCUGGAGGCAGAGACACCCUUGGGUGCUCUUCGAGUCUGGUCUUUGUGGGUGUGAGGCUUCUUCUCCACUAGCAAGAUCCUCACCUGCCUAGUUCAGAGCCUGCGGGUCAGAAGCAGCAUCUGGAAUCUCUCCCAGUAUGGUCAUGAGAUAAGCUCCCUCCCAAUUCCAGAGCUUGGAACCCAGGGAUCACAUGAGUUGCCAAAUCUGCAGCUCUGGACACAGCACCUGCUCCUCCCACAGGAACUUCCGGGAAAGAGGGUCGUGGUUGCUGGCUUCUACGGAAGAGGAGCCAGAGGCUCAGCUGGGCAGAAAGCAGGGAUGGGUCCUGCGAAUCUGAGGAAAGUAAAGCCUGAGAGAAGAGGAUUUGAGCCCCAGCUCUCCCAAGUGACUGUGACCAGGUCACCCCCCCAUGCUGCCCAAAUGGAGAACUCCGAGGACACCAGCCCAAGGCAGGGGAGCAAGAGGCUCUGCAGCCCCUUCACUUCUCUCAUUAGGAUCGAGGCCCAGGGCUUUCCAGCCGCUUUGGAAGAGGCAGUGGAAUAAAUUGCAGCUCCGGGGAAAGUCUAAAGAAGACCCACUGGAGGCCGGUGCAACUCGUGUUGAGUAUCACAACAUCCAGUGCCUGAGCCAGGCAUAGUGACGUGAGCAAGGAGAAAGCAGAAGCACGUGGUUACCAUGAACCAUAGGUGUAUAAACAGGAUUUCCAGGUAAGCUUCUCUGGGCAGCAAGUCCUAAAACAAAGAGAGAUGCCCACUGUGCUCUUACUCUACAUUAAGGAAACAAAGGUCUCCAGAAGGAAAGAGAUUUGUCUAGUUUGGAACAAUCAGUUAGCAACAGAUCAGAUCUGGACACAGAUUUGUGUUUGUUUUUUUUUUCCCACUUGCAGCCAGUUAUUUCCCUUCCACUGGUCUCUGGGACUGAGGUCACUGAUUUCACUCCUUUGACAGCUUUAUGGAAAGCAGUUAGUAUAUCACUGAGUGAUUUAGUAAAUGGGAAUAUAAAGAACAAUGGAGAAAGGACAUGAAUUGCAUGAUGGGGCUGUAGACAAAAUUCACUGGUUAAUCCAGGGCAAGGGGAUGCCUGGGUGGCUCAGUGGUUGAGCAUCUGCCUUUGGCUCAGGGCAUGAUCCUGGAGUCCUGGGAUCGAGUCCCACAUUGGGCUCCCUGCAUGGAGCCUGCUUCUCCUCUCUCUGCCUGUGUCUCUGCCUUUCUCUCUGUGUCUCUCAUGAAUAAAUAAAUAAAUAAAAUCUUAAAAAAAAAAAAA
rnacentral:lncRNA from 12 species